GUGCUCACUUUGGUAGCACAUGCUCUAAGAAAAUUGGAACAUGGAGGGAAGAUUAGCACGGCCCUGUGCAAGGGUGACCCGCAAAUUCAUGAAGUGUUCCAAACGGGC
rnacentral:snRNA from 1 species